rnacentral:rRNA from 1 species
GACAGAGGGUGCAAACGUUGUUCGGAAUUACUGGGCGUAAAGGGCUCGUAGGCGGCCAACUAAGUCAGACGUGAAAUCCCUCGGCUUAACCGGGGAACUGCAUCUGAUACUGGAUGGCUUGAGUUCGGGAGAGGGAUGCGGAAUUCCAGGUGUAGCGGUGAAAUGCGUAGAUAUCUGGAGGAACACCGGUGGCGAAGGCGGCAUCCUGGACCGACACUGACGCUGAGGAGCGAAAGCGUGGGGAGCGAACAGG